CAGCUACUCGGGAGGCUGAGGCAGGAGAAUGGUGUGAACCAGGGAGGCAGAGCUUGUAGUGAGAAGUUCUAAAAUAGAUGACAACUACUUGAAGGAAUUGAAUGAGGACUUAAAGCUAAGGAAGCAGGAACUGCUAGAGAUGCUCAAACCUCUAGAAGACAAAAACAACCUCUUAUUUCAAAAGUUAAUGUCUAACUUGGAGGAAAAACAAAGGAGUCUUCAGAUCAUGAGGCAGAUCAUGGCAGGGAAGGGGUGUGAGGAAUCCUCGGUCAUGGAGCUCCUUAAGGAAGCAGAGGAGAUGAAACAGAACUUGACAUUCGAGGCAGAAGAACUCAGUGAUCAACAAAAAGCACCACAGAUAAAAAACAAGGCAGACUUGCAGGAUGGAAAGGAAAAGCAACAGAGGAAAAUGGAAUGGGUCAAGUAUCAGGAACAAAACAACAUCCUUCAGAAUGAUUUUCAUGGCAAAGUGAUUGAGCUGAGAAUUGAAGCCUUGAAGAACUACCAGAAGGCCAAUGACCUGAAAUUAUCACUGUAUUUGCAGCAGAAUUUUGAGCCAAUGCAAGCAUUUUUAAAUAUUCCUGGGUCCCAAGCAUUUCCUUGAGCUCUUCUGAGAAAAACCUGAACGUUGGAUGUACUAUGGGCAUUACAACUAUGGACAGAGUGACUACUGGCAGAAAUGAACACCAUGUGAGAAUUCUGAGAGCAAAGAUCUACAAAGAACAACAAGGAACUAAAGGAAGUCAGCUUGAUGAUACAGGAGGGAGGCUCUUUUUUCUGAGGUCACUGCCAGAUGAAGCACUGAAGAAUUAGCAGGCUUUCGCUCCAUUUGCUUUGGACAGAUUUAAAGACUAGGCACAGCCAUUUGUGUUAAUUAAAAUCUCUCAAACCUUUGUUUUAGUGCUGUUUUCCCUCUCUCCCCCCACCAAACUGGGUGGAAAUGUUGGAUGUUUGGCCUUAAACAUGUAUGGAAUGUAGUCAUUUAGGAAUUGUAAACAACCUCUGAUUAUUUUGAUAG
rnacentral:sRNA from 1 species